rnacentral:sRNA from 1 species
GUUGGAAAUCAUUUUU